AGAGUUUGAUCCUGGCUCAGGAUGAACGCUGGCGGCGUGCCUAACACAUGCAAGUCGAGCGAUUCUCUUCGGAGAAGAGCGGCGGACGGGUGAGUAACGCGUGGGUAACCUGCCCUGUACACACGGAUAACAUACCGAAAGGUAUGCUAAUACGAGAUAAUAUGCUUUUAUCGCAUGGUAGAAGUAUCAAAGCUCCGGCGGUACAGGAUGGACCCGCGUCUGAUUAGCUAGUUGGUAAGGUAACGGCUUACCAAGGCGACGAUCAGUAGCCGACCUGAGAGGGUGAUCGGCCACAUUGGAACUGAGACACGGUCCAAACUCCUACGGGAGGCAGCAGUGGGGAAUAUUGCACAGUGGGCGAAAGCCUGAUGCAGCAACGCCGCGUGAGCGAUGAAGGCCUUCGGGUCGUAAAGCUCUGUCCUCAAGGAAGAUAAUGACGGUACUUNAGGAGGAAGCCC
rnacentral:rRNA from 1 species